AGCGCAGGCGGCCAAGUCAGUCUGAAGUGAAAGCCCGGGGCUUAACCCCGGAAUAGCUUUGGAUACUGCCUGGCUUGAGUGUGCGAUAGGAAAGCGGAAUUCCAGGUGUAGCAGUGAAAUGCGUAGAUAUCUGGAGGAACACCGGUGGCGAAAGCGGCUUUCUGGCGCAUAACUGACGCUGAGGCUCGAAAGCGUGGGGAGCGAACGG
rnacentral:rRNA from 1 species